GCAAACUUGGUCAUUUAGAGGAAGUAAAAGUCGUAACAAGGUUUCCGUAGGUGAACCUGCGGAAGGAUCAUUAAUGAGUCAAUGGAAUUGCCCUGCAAGGGGUGGUUCCUAUUAACUUAUCAAAACUUUUGGAGUUAUUCAAUGUUGCUUUGGCACUAGCUUUUAGUGCCAAGGGAUACUUUAUAUCUUUGUUUUUUCUUCCCCUGAAAAGGAAGUAGAGUUUGUCAAAUUAAAAAGUUAAUGAAAAAAAACUUUCAACAACGGAUCUCUUGGUUCUGGCAUCGAUGAAGAACGCAGC
rnacentral:misc_RNA from 1 species